AACGAACGCUGGCGGCAGGCCUAACACAUGCGAGUCGAGCGCCCUUUCGGGGGAGCGGCGGACGGGUGAGUACCGCGUGGGAAUAUGCCCUUCUCUACGGAAUAGCCUCGGGAAACUGAGAGUAAUACCGUAUACGCCCUGUGGGGGAAAGAUUUAUCGGGGAAGGAUUAGCCCGCGUUGGAUUAGGUAGUUGGUGGGGUAAUGGCCUACCAAGCCGACGAUCCAUAGCUGGUUUGAGAGGAUGAUCAGCCACACUGGGACUGAGACACGGCCCAGACUCCUACGGGAGGCAGCAGUGGGGAAUCUUAGACAAUGGGGGCAACCCUGAUCGAGCCAUGCCGCGUGAGUGAUGAAGGCCUUAGGGUUGUAAAGCUCUUUCAGCUGGGAAGAUAAUGACGGUACCAGCAGAAGAAGCCCCGGCUAACUCCGUG
rnacentral:rRNA from 1 species